CUUAGUUUAGUUUUUGGAUUGUUCAUUGAUACUAUAUAGAAAUGCAACUGAGUUUUAAAUAUUGAUCUUGGUGUGAAACAGGUUAACUAAUUAUCAAUAUUUUCUGAGAUCAGACAAGAUCACACAUGUUCAGGCUGGUAUGACCAUGGUGACUAAUUACCAAUACUAAGGAAGGACUCCCAUUGCAUGGAGGAUAACAAAGAUCAUUGCUAUGCCAACCACCAGGAGCAGGAUCCAAACACUUCUGUUCACUCCAUCCUGGGCUGCACCUUUACUAUUCACCCAAGUACAGUAAGAUACAACACUCACAUUGUACAAGUUAUAUGGAACAGGAUUAUUACUUACAGAUAGGUGGCAAGGGACAACAGAAGCCCAGGAUCCAGAAGCCCAGAAGCUGGUCAGCCGAGGCUCUGGAGAGCUGUCGGGGGUGGAUGGAGUCCUGACUGAACAUGCCACACUUGGACUGCAGCUUAGGGAUCCCAAAAGGCAACCCACCUUGGGUUAACUCAGGGGACAUGUGAGUUGCUGAGCUAAAGCAUUGAAGGGCUUCUUGCUUCUAAGAUAAAGAAUAAAGCUCAGGCUAUCCUGAGCAAUUCUUCUCUAACUCAAGAAGUUCUCUUCCCUAGGAGGGCAAAUAACAAAGCCUGGUCUAUUUCUAGCAGUUCCUCCCUGUCUCAGGAUAUUGCAUGCUCACACAUGUUUCAAUUAUUCUGAGAACUACAAUCAACAAGACGGAGGAAGACUAGAUGAUGUUUCCUUUCCUGCCCAAUUUAUCUGGUUAAAACAUCUGAUACACUGUUGAACAGAAGAGGCAAGGGCACAUGUUCAUGUCUUGUUCCUGAUAUUGGGAGAAAGCAUCCCGUUUUUCACCACAGAAACGGGGUUUCACCGUGUUAGCCAAGAUGGUCUCUAUCUCCUGACCUCGUGAUCCGCCCGCCUUGGCCUCCCAAAGUGCUGGGAUUAUGCAUUCUCUCUUUACAUCACAAUGACCAUGACCUUGGAUAUGGAGUCCACUCAAAAAUAAUCUGAACUAAUAAACGAAUUCUGCAAGGUUGAAGAAUACAAGGUCAAUAAAAAUAAUUAAUUAUAUUUCUAUGUGAUACAAUAAACAAUCUUAAAAUUAAGAAAAAAAUUUCAUUUACAGUAGAAUAACAAAAAAAAAUUUAAAAAUAAGCUUAAUCGUGAGAUACAAAUUGGUACCCUGAAAACUACAAAACAUUCCUGAACAAUAUUAAAGGUCUAAAUAAAUGGAAAAUUGUCUUGUGUUUAUGGAUCAGAAGACUUAACAAUUUGAAGAUGGUAAUACUUCCCAAAUUGACACACAGAUUUAAUGCAAUACCUGUCAGAAAACUAGCUGACUUUUGUGGAAAUUGAAAACUGAUUGUAAAAUAAAUGGAAUUGCAGGAGAUAUGGAAUCACCAAGGAAUACUGACACAGAAGAACCAAGUAGGAGAGUGUGCAAUUCCCAGUCUCAUAUCUCAUUACAAAACCAAACCAAACAAGGCAUUGGCACAAGAAUAGACAUACAGAUCAAUGGAACAGAACUGAGACCCAAGAAAUAAAGCCAAGUGGUCAGCUGACUUUUUGAAAGCUUGCCAAGACCAUCGAAUGGGGAAAAUUUUUUUCAUAUACGUUGCAAGGAUAAUUGGAUAUAAACAUCCAAAAGAAUGAACUUGGAUGCUUAUCUUGCACCAUAUGCAAAAAUAACUGAAAAUGAAUUCAAGGCUAAAACUAUUAACUCAGAAAAAAAGAUGAGCUGCAUUUUCAUGAUCCUAGGUUUGGCGAAAUACUCUUAAGUAUAACUCCAAAAAAACCCCACCAAAAAACCUAGAUAAAUUUAAUUUCAUCAAAAUUAAACAUUUUGGGCGUCAAAGGGCAUCAUUAAUAAAAUGAAUAGACUUACUACAGAUUGUGAGAAAAUGCUUGCAUAUCAUACGUCUGGUAAGCAAAUUGUUUCUAGAGUAAUAUAUAAAAAAACUCUUACAACUCAAUAAGAAGAAGACAAAUAACACAAACUAAAAAGUGGCAAAGGAUCUGAAUAGAUCUUUCUCCCAGCAAGAUCUACAAAUAGCUGAUAAUCACAUGAAGAGGUGCCUGACAUCAUUAGUCAUCAGGAAAAUGCAAAUCAAAAAACCACAGCUAGGUACUACAUCACACCCACUAUGAUGGCCAGAACCCAAAUGACAGAUAGUAGGUAUCAGAAAAGAUAUGGAGAAAGUGGAACCCUUAUACACUGUUGGCAGAAUUUGAAAUGAUACAUCCACCUUGUAAAACAGUUUGGACAUUCCUCAAAGGAUUAAACAUAGAGUUACCAUAUGAUCCAAAAACCCUACUCUUUGAUACAUACACAAGAAGAAUGGAAACGUAUAUUCACACAAAAGCUAAAACAUGAAUGUUUAUAGCAGCAUUAUUUAUAUAGCCAAAAGAUAGAAAUGACCUAAUUCCUGCCUGCGGUUGAUGCUGAUGAACAAAAUGUCCUAAAUGUCCCCAACUGCAGUGAUGGUUGCAUAGUUCAUGAAUAUACCAAAAUCAAUUGACUUGUUAACUUUCUAGUAUGUGAGUAAUAUUUUAAUGAACUGUUAAGAAAAUUUAAAAACAUAAUGAGGAGAGACCUUCAUGUUAAGAAGAUGAGAGGCUGCCAGGCGCGGUGGCUCACACCUGUAAUCCCAGCACUUUGGGAGGCUGAGAGGAGCAGAUUGCCUGAGCUCAGGAGUUUGAGAACAGCCUGUGCAACAUGGUAAAACCCUGUCUGUAUUAAAAUACAAAAAAUGAGCCAGGCAUGGUGACCAGUACCUGUAAUCCCAGCUACUCAGGAGGCUGAGGCACGAGAAUUGCUUGAACCUGGGAGGCAGAGGUUGCAGUGAGCGGAGAUCAUGCCACUGCACCCCAGCCUGGGCAACAAAACAAAACUCUGUCUCAGAAAAAAAAGAAAAAGAAAAACAAACAAACAAACAAACAAAAGAAGAAGAACAAGAAUGGGAGAGCCUUGAUGUGGUUGGAGCAACUGAGGUGCAGAGUAGGGAGUGUGAGUGUGGGGAGGUGAACAGGUGGCAGCAGGUCCCCAGAGGCCUUGUGUCUGUGGUAAGGAGUUUAGAGUUUAUUCUGAGAAGGGAGGGGUAAAAUGCAAACAUUUUUAAAAAGGGAGUGACUUAAUCAGCUUGAUGUGUUAUGACAGACUCAACAUGGAGAAGGAUGGUUUGAUAAGUGGCCAGGUUGGAGGCAGGAACACUGAAGAAGUAAUCCAGGAGAAAAGUGAUGAGGGCUAAAUAUCAGCAAGAAGACGAAGAAUGGUGUGGUUAUAGGAGAUUUAAGGUAUGAAAUGAUCAGGCCCUGUUGAUGAGGUCACGAAUAAGGAAGACUUGAUAACCUGGGGCUCUGAGGACUCCUGAAGGUGACAAGCUGAGUGGCGAUUCCCUUCCCCUAGGGUGUGGCAGGGGAGCUGGAGGUCAUCUGCAACCCCCACUUGGCUCUUUGGCUGGAUCUAGAAACCAAAUUGACACCAGACAUAUUAAGGAGACAAAAGUAUACCUAGAUUUCAUUAGUUUUACAUGUACAUUAUGCUCUUCAUAAGAGAGUAAGGUCUGAAGAAGUGACCAAAGCAAGAUGUUCUUAUACAUUUUAGACAAAGAACAAUACAUUUGAGAAGAAAUGACAGAACAAAGAGAAUCUGGCUGGGGCAGUGAAUUUCUAGGGGAGUUGACUAGGAGAUAUAUGGAAGUGGGGUGUAAAACUAGCUGAAGAUAAGAGUUAUUUGGAUAAGUAUAAUUAUUCGGAUCCAUUGCAGCCACCCAGUUCUCAAUCUCUGGUGAUAAGGGCUGUUUCCUUGCCCUAAUAUGGUGAGGGCACCUCUCCCAGAGGAAUCUUUAUGGCUUGCUGCAUGUAGGAAGAACAGUGAGCUCACCCUAUCUGAAACUACAAUUUCUCUAAUUUUUUCAGCUUGAAAUAAUCAAUAUGCCAAUUAUGCACAUUUUGGGAUGGUAAGUUCUUCACUUCUUCAGUGUACUUGUUUGCUCCCUUAGGGUCCAGGUGCAUUCUCUUCCAUGCCUUAAUUGCUGACACUACUUGGGAGAAUGUAUUCUUCAGUUUGUAGCUCAUCUGUGAAGGGAAUUGAAGAAGGGGUUGCAGUAACAUUUAGGUAAGAAAGUGGAUGGGAAUUGGUGACAGGCAUUAUAUUGAGUAACUGCUUACAAGUCAGUAAGAAACAACACUGCAUAUUGGCAGCCUUAAGUUACUUUCUGUGGCAAAGAAAAGAAUCAGUGAUUCUAGUUAUACAGCUUUAUUGGAAAAUCUGUUUUUAGAAAACUGUAAUCAGAAAAGUACAUUCCUUUAAGUUAGUUUUUCAAACCUUUUUUAAGGCAGCUCAUAAUACUUUAAAAAUUAACAUACGUAUUUAUAUUGAAUAGCAGCUUAUACAUUGAUUUUGCAUACAUAUUUCAAUUAGUAAUUCAAAGAAAACCUUUGGUUUGAGCAUACUCAAAUAAUAAUAAUAUUAUUAUUACUACCAUGUUCCAGAAUAGGAAAUUGAGAUUCAGAGAUAUGAAGAGACUUCAGCUACUGAGUGGUGAAGUCAGAUUUGAAGUUCAUGUCUUCUAGCCAGAAACUCCAUGUGGUCACACUAUUUAGGUGAUAUUUUCCUGUCCCUACCCAUCCUAUGUAUUUUUAUUAGCCAAAUGUUUAUUCUUUUAAAAUAAAUAACAAUAUCACAAAUACAGGGUUGUGUUUGUCUUUAAAGUAAUCUAAGAGUCGCUUAAAUCUAUAGCCUCAGAAACUUCUUUAUUGUUGCC